CGGCGGAGCUGCUGGCUCCCUAUAUUGGCGAUAUCGCCGCCGAGGGGCUGGGCAAAAUCGUUCGCGGUGGCGCCUCUCUCCUGCUUAAAGGGGCCAAACGCCAGCAGCGUUACGCGGCGGAAGUGGUAACCGAAGAGUGGCGUCUGGCGCCAGGGCCACUUGAAGUGGCCUGGUUUGCCGAAGAGACCGCCGCCGUUGAACGCGCGGCUGAUGCACUGGCGAAACGCCUGGAAAAACUGGAGGGCAAAUGA
rnacentral:sRNA from 1 species